rfam:Astyanax mexicanus chromosome 23, whole genome shotgun sequence.
GGCCUAGUAGCCUAAUGGAUAAAGCAUCAGCCUUUGGAGUUGAGGAUUGUGGGUUCGAGUCCCAUCUGGGUCA